rnacentral:rRNA from 1 species
AGAGUUUGAUCCUGGCUCAGAAUGAACGUUGGCGGCGUGGAUUAGGCAUGCAAGUCGUGCGGCAGCAGGCCCGCAAGGGCGCUGGCGAGCGGCGAAAGGGAGAGUAACACGCGGGUACCUACCCUCAGGACCGGGAUAGCUGCGGGAAACUGCAAUUAAUACCGGAUGAUGUCUCCGGACCAAAGGUGUAAUUCCGCCGGAGGAGGGGCCCACGUCCUAUCAGCUAGUUGGUGAGGUAAUGGCCCACCAAGGCGACGACGGGUACGGGGUGUGAGAGCAUGCCCCCGCUCACUGGGACUGAGACACUGCCCAGACACCUACGGGUGGCUGCAGUCGAGAAUCUUCCGCAAUGGGCGAAAGCCUGACGGAGCGACGCCGCGUGCGGGAUGAAGGCCUUCGGGUUGUAAACCGCUGUCAGUGGGGAGGAAGUGCACGGGGGUUAUCCCCUGUGUUUGACCGAUCCGCAGAGGAAGCACAGGCUAAGUUCGUGCCAGCAGCCGCGGUAACACGAACUGUGCAAACGUUAUUCGGAAUCACUGGGCUUAAAGAGUUCGUAGGCGGCGCGUUAAGUCGGGUGUGAAAGCCCUCGGCUCAACCGAGGAAUUGCGCCCGAAACUGGCGUGCUUGAGUGAGAUAGAGGUGAGCGGAACUGAUGGUGGAGCGGUGAAAUGCGUUGAUAUCAUCAGGAACACCGGUGGCGAAAGCGGCUCACUGGGUCUCAACUGACGCUGAGGAACGAAAGCUAGGGGAGCGAACGGGAUUAGAUACCCCCGGUAGUCCUAGCCGUAAACGAUGAGCAC